GAUGUGAAAGCCCGGGGCUUAACCCCGGGUCUGCAUUCGAUACGGGCUAGCUAGAGUGUGGUAGGGGAGAUCGGAAUUCCUGGUGUAGCGGUGAAAUGCGCAGAUAUCAGGAGGAACACCGGUGGCGAAGGCGGAUCUCUGGGCCAUUACUGACGCUGAGGAGCGAAAGCGUGGGGAGCGAACAGGAUUAGAUACCCUGGUAGUCCACGCCGUAAACGUUGGGAACUAGGUGUUGGCGACAUUCCACGUCGUCGGUGCCGCAGCUAACGCAUUAAGUUCCCCGCCUGG
rnacentral:rRNA from 1 species